rnacentral:rRNA from 1 species
GGAUGAACGCUAGCGGCAGGCUUAACACAUGCAAGUCGAGGGGCAGCACGGGUAGCAAUACCUGGUGGCGACCGGCGCAAGGGUGCGUAACGCGUGAGCAACAUGCCCUAUACAGGGGGAUAAUCCAGGGAAACUUGGUCUAAUAUCCCAUAGUAUUUAGAGGAGGCAUCUUCUAUAAAUUAAAGCUUCGGUGGUAUAGGAUUGGCUCGCGUGACAUUAGCUAGAUGGUGAGGUAACGGCUUACCAAGGCUAUGAUGUUUAGGGGUCCUGAGAGGGUGGUCCCCCACACUGGUACUGAGACACGGACCAGACUCCUACGGGAGGCAGCAGUGAGGAAUAUUGGUCAAUGGGCGCAAGCCUGAACCAGCCAUCCCGCGUGCAGGAAGACGGCCCUAUGGGUUGUAAACUGCUUUUCCAGGGAGAGAAACUUACGCACGUGUUGCGUGACUGACGGUACCCUGGGAAUAAGCAUCGGCUAACUCCGUGCCAGCAGCCGCGGUAAUACGGAGGAUGCAAGCGUUAUCCGGAUUCAUUGGGUUUAAAGGGUGCGUAGGCGGGCUAUUAAGUCAGUGGUGAAAUCCUGCAGCUUAACUGCAGAACUGCCGUUGAUACUGAUAGUCUUGAGUUUGGUUAAGGUAGGCGGAAUGUGUAAUGUAGCGGUGAAAUGCUUAGAUAUUACACAGAACACCAAUUGCGUAGGCAGCUUACUGAGCCGACACUGACGCUGAGGCACGAAAGCGUGGGGAUCAAACAGGAUUAGAUACCCUGGUAGUCCACACUGUAAACGAUGAUAACUCACUGCCGGCGAUACACAGUCGGUGGCCAAGCGAAAGCGAUAAGUUAUCCACCUGGGGAGUACGACCGCAAGGUUGAAACUCAAAGGAAUUGACGGGGGCCCGCACAAGCGGAGGAACAUGUGGUUUAAUUCGAUGAUACGCGAGGAACCUUACCCGGGCUCGAACGGUGCAUGAAUAAGCAAGAGAUUGUUUAGUCCUUCGGGACAUGUAUCGAGGUGCUGCAUGGUUGUCGUCAGCUCGUGCCGUGAGGUGUCGGCUUAAGUGCCAUAACGAGCGCAACCCUUGUUGUUAGUUACCAACAGGUAAAGCUGGGGACUCUAACGAGACUGCCACCGUAAGGUGUGAGGAAGGGGGGGGAUGACGUCAAAUCAGCACGGCCCUUAUGUCCGGGGCGACACACGUGUUACAAUGGGGGGUACAGAGGGCAGCCAUCCGGUGACGGAGCGCCAAUCUCCAAAACCCUUCUCAGUUCGGAUUGGAGUCUGCAACCCGACUCCAUGAAGUUGGAUUCGCUAGUAAUCGCGCAUCAGCCAUGGCGCGGUGAAUACGUUCCCGGGCCU